rnacentral:rRNA from 1 species
CCUACGGGUGGCAGCAGUGGGGGAUAUUGCACAAUGGGGGAAACUCUGAUGCAGCGACGCCGCGUGAGUGAAGACGUAUUUCGGUAUGUAAAGCUCUAUCAGUAGGGAAGAAAAUGACAGUACCUGACCAAGAAGCCCCGGCUAACUACGUGCCAGCAGCCGCGGUAAUACGUAGGGGGCAAGCGUUAUCCGGAUUUAUUGGGUGUAAAGGGAGCGUAGACGGUUAUGUAAGUCUGGAGUGAAAGCUCGGGGCUCAACCCCGGAACUGCUUUGGAAACUGUGUAACUGGAGUACAGGAGGGGCAGGCGGAAUGCCUGGUGUAGCGGUGAAAUGCGUAGAUAUCAGGAAGAACACCGACGGCGAAGGCAGCCUACUGGACUGAAACUGACGUUGAGGCUCGAAAGCGUGGGGAGCAAACAGGAUUAGAUACCCUGGUAGUC